AAGCUCGUAGUUGAAUUUCGGGGUUAGUAGGUUGGUCAUGCCUCUGGUAUGUACUGAUCUCACUGAUUCCUCCUUCCUUAUGAACCGUAAUGCCAUUAAUUUGGUGUUGCGGGGAAUUUGGACUGUUACUUUGAAAAAAAUUAGAGCGUUUAAAAGCAAGCUAACGCUUGAAUACAUUAGCAUGGAAUAAUGAAAUAGGACGUUCGAUCUUAUUUUGUUGGUUUCUAGGAUUGACGUAAUGAUUAAUAGGGAUAGUUGGG
rnacentral:rRNA from 1 species